rnacentral:rRNA from 1 species
CCUACGGGUGGCAGCAGUCGAGAAUCAUUCACAAUGGGGGAAACCCUGAUGGUGCGACGCCGCGUGGGGGAAUGAAGGUCUUCGGAUUGUAAACCCCUGUCAUGUGGGAGCAAAUUAAAAAGAUAGUACCACAAGAGGAAGAGACGGCUAACUCUGUGCCAGCAGCCGCGGUAAUACAGAGGUCUCAAGCGUUGUUCGGAAUCACUGGGCGUAAAGCGUGCGUAGGCUGUUUCGUAAGUCGUGGGUGAAAGGCGCGGACUCAACCCGCGGACGGCACAUGAUACUGCGAGACUAGAGUAAUGGAGGGGGAACCGGAAUUCUCGGUGUAGCAGUGAAAUGCGUAGAUAUCGAGAGGAACACUCGUGGCGAAGGCGGGUUCCUGGACAUUAACUGACGCUGAGGCACGAAGGCCAGGGGAGCGAAAGGGAUUAGAUACCCCAGUAGUC